GCAUGGGUUUGGAUUUAUGGCGGGCCAUCCCUGUGGGCCUCUCAGAGUGCCCCACACCGGAGCAAACUGUAACCCCAAACCAUUGCCUGGCCUCCUUGCCCAUAGGCUACAGACACUGAAGCAGGUUGGACAAUA
ensembl:snoRNA small nucleolar RNA SNORA42/SNORA80 family